GAUGAAGAACGUAGCGAAAUGCGAUAAGUAAUGUGAAUUGCAGAAUUCAGUGAAUCAUCGAAUCUUUGAACGCACAUUGCGCCCUUUGGUAUUCCGAAGGGCAUGCCUGUUCGAGCGUCAUUAUCACCCCUCAAGCCCUCGGCUUGGUGUUGGACGGUUUGGUGGAGGCCCCCUCGGGGGUUCCUGCCCCUCCCAAAGACAAUGACGGCGGCCUCGUUGGACCCCCGGUACACUGAGUUCUUCACGGGACACGUAUCGGACACAUGGGUUUACGGGACACGGUCUGCCUCCCCUCAGGGAGAAUCUUUCUAAGGUUGACCUCGGAUCAGGUAGGGAUACCCGCUGAACUUAAGCAUAUCAAUAAGCGGAGG
rnacentral:misc_RNA from 1 species